UACGGGGGGGGCAAGCGUUGUUCGGAAUUACUGGGCGUAAAGGGCUCGUAGGCGGCCAACUAAGUCCGACGUGAAAUCCCAAGGCUUAACCUUGGAACUGCGUCGGAUACUGGAUGGCUUGAAUUCGGGAGAGGGAUGCAGAAUUCCAGGUGUAGCGGUGAAAUGCGUAGAUAUCUGGAGGAAUACCGGUGGCGAAGGCGGCAUCCUGGACCGGCAUUGACGCUGAGGAGCGAAAGCUAGGGGAGCAAACGGG
rnacentral:rRNA from 1 species